UUUUCCUCUCUUAGGUUUGGUUCCUUUAAUAGUGAAUAAUGAGAAUCUCAAGGGUUUUCUAAUUCUUUGUUACAGUCGAUUUUCUUGUGCAGUAAUAAUAGGUUAUAGAUGAAGCCAGGUGGUGCCAGAAGUAGAAUCCAGGUCUUUCUUUGGCUUCUCUCCUAAUCUACUAAUUUAAGUUAAAAAAAAAAAAAAAGAUUCUUCUAAAUUAUGUCCCAGUAAUCAGUCACCCAGUUCAUUCUCUUGUGUGCAGUUCUGAGCAAGAUAAAUUCAGAAUUGCCUAUUUAAGCAUCCUCAACUUUGCUGAAGUUGGAACUUAAUUGACAGAAAAGAGCAAUAUCAAAAAAGCACAUGCACUGUUUUUUUCUUUUCUUCUUUUUUUUAUAGUGUUAAAGGUAUAUAUUCUAUUUUUGGAAGAUAAACUAUAGACAAAAGCAAAAAUAUUUAACUUAAUAUUUAACUUGUAUAAGUUUGUGUCAAUCUAAACAAAUACUGAGGGAGAAGGAUGGAGUUAUAGAGGUAUGGCAUAGAAGAAAACAGAGGUUGUAUUGUCUUCUGUUUUUUAGAAACUUAAAAAUCAUCUUUAGCUGCCUGCUACCUUCUUGGUUUAUUUUAACAAAUGUAAUGGAUAUGAUAAUAAUGUUGUUCUGUUGUCUCUUAACUCCUAACUUCUAGAAAAAGAGGGUGUUAUAUUGAAGCAGAGCAAUUACUAAAACUCAUUCUCCCAGAGUCUCCCUAAAAUGACCUGAAAAUGCAUUUCUUGAAGUUUGAAAACAGAAACUCUCAGAGCAUGGGAGUCUGUUUGUUUGUUUCAAAUUAAUACCUACUACCUUCAUGAUGGGGGAAAAUCAAAAGUUUCCGUGCAAAUGGCCAAUCCCGCAUUAUUAAAACCAAGUCCAAAAUUACAAGUUCAAUACUACCACAAACGAUUUACAGAGACACCGAGAAAGCUUACUCCUUCCUUGAGCAUUUUAUAAUAUUUGGGAGAUCAUCAACAUCAGGAAAAAAAAAAGAAUAUGUUUAUAGGGAUCUGUUUGUUUCACUUAAAAACGCCUUCACUAUACUCUAGUUUUAUCAAUGGGCAAAAGUUCUCACUGCUUGGUGUUUGGGACAGAUUAAUACAGAGAUCCAGGAAAUGGCAAUAGUUGGAAUCUGGUCUGUCCAGUCAUCUUGGAAGCUGUUUGGUAGCAGCUGUCUUUAUUUCCUAGCACAAGUUGGACUUGGAUCUGAAAAAGGAAUGAAAUCUGGUAACAUUAAAUGAAGCACUUUGGAGCUGCUGCUGAAACAUUAUUAGAAGGGAAGGAAAUCCACCCACCAAUUUGUUCUUUCCACUAGGAAAAAAACUACAGAUGAAGAUGCCAUGUGUGGUGUUUGAAUUGUCCCCAAACCACACUAGACACAGCAAAGUUUGAAUUUAUUUCAGAAGUGUGGUUUGAUAUGUAUACAUGGAGAUGCACAUCAUUCGUGUCCCUGUCUAAGGAUGCCAUUUCUGAUAAGCAUGUGUGGCAAAUCAGAAAAACUGAUAGAGGUCUGUUCUAUUUAUUCUUCAUUGCUACUAAGUCACCAUUAGUCAUGUGGUGACCACUUGGCUGGGAGAGCAAACCAAUCUUUGAACACAUCAUCUCUGUGGCAACCACUUCAGGAUUUUAUUUUAUUUUAUGCAAAGAAUGUUAUAUUCUUGUAAUAAGAACUGCUUUAUGAUAAUUAUAGAGGUUUAAAUUCUCCCAAUUUUGCCAUCAUGUCCUGUCCUGAUGUGAUCAACUCACAUAUUUUCCAAUAACUAUAUCGUCAUUUCUUCUUUUCAUGGAGCAAAUAAAAUGCUUUUAAACUGAAAUCAGAUACUGAUACUGAACCAUUUUGAGCUCUGACUUAGACUUUGCCUCAACUAGUCUUGCCAAAAAUGUCAUUAGCUAAAGAAGCUUGUCAGUGGCUCAGCAGAAAUCCUACAGUUGAUGGAUAAAGGUGCAUUGCAAGUGUCUUAGAGUUUGCCAUCUUGAUUUAGAAUAUGGAAAUAAGUGGUGUCCCA
rnacentral:lncRNA from 1 species